UACGGGGGGGGCAAGCGUUGUUCGGAAUUACUGGGCGUAAAGGGCUCGUAGGUGGCCAACUAAGUCAGACGUGAAAUCCCUCGGCUUAACCGGGGAACUGCGUCUGAUACUGGAUGGCUUGAGUUUGGGAGAGGGACGCGGACUUCCAGGUGUAGCGGUGAAAUGCGUAGAUAUCUGGAGGAACACCGGUGGCGAAGGCGGCGUCCUGGACCAACACUGACACUGAGGAGCGAAAGCCAGGGGAGCAAACGGG
rnacentral:rRNA from 1 species